rnacentral:tRNA from 1 species
GCCAGUUUAGCUCAGUUGGUAGAGCAUCGGUAUCGUAAACCGGCGGUCACAGGUUCAAAUCCUGCAACUGGCACUA